rnacentral:rRNA from 1 species
CCGCCUAUCGAAAGGGAAUCCGGUUAAGAUUCCGGAACCAGGACAUGGAUCUUUGACGGUAACGUAAAUGAAGUUGGUGACGCUGGCUAGGGCCCUGGGAAGAGUUAUCUUUUCUCCUUGACUAUCUAUAACCUUGAAAUCGGAUUAUCCGGAGCUAAGGUUCAAUGGUAGGCAAAGUGCAACACUUUCGUUGCAUCCGGUGCGUCCUAGACAGUCCUUGAAAAACCGACGGAACGUAUUACUCUCAUGCCUGGUCGUACUCAUAACCGCAGCAGGUCUCCAAGGUGAACAGCCUCU